CAUUUCUCACGUCUCACCACAAACUACUUUACUUCCAUUUCCAACCAUAUAACUAAUUGUUGAACAUUAUAUGUAUAAGUGAAGAUCUCCCAUCGCUGCUUUUAAUUGCAGUCAUGGCCACCCAUGCAGCUCUUGUUUCCUCCAGGAUCCCAAACAACACCAGGCUUAUUCCUUCCAAGACUUUCCAUGCUUUCCCUGCUCAAUGCUCCUCUAAGAGGCUUGAUGUGGCUGAGUUCUCAGGACUUCCAUCAAAUACUUGCUUGAACUUUGCCCACAAUGCCAGAGAAGCGUCUUUCUUUGAUACAGUUGCUGCCCAACUUGCUCCCAAGGGAUUGGAAACACUGUAGAAAGUUCAGUUUCUAGAAAAACAAAGACGACGAAAUAUUCUCAGACUAGGAAGGCCCUCUCCCUAGUCCCUACUGGCAAGUAAGAGGUCUUUGCGUUUGAAGUGAUUUGGAGUUUGGAAUCGGAUGCUCAUAUUCUGACAACUAGCUAGGGCGAGUGGUAAGGUAGGUGUAUAGCUAUGCCAUAUUGCCAUGGCUUCUCUCAGCUUCGUGAAGGGUACAGCUGAGAAUCUGAGGACAAAAAAUUACAUUCUAACCACCACUCAUAAUGAGAAACGAAGAUGGCAUGGAGUUUCAGAAGACUCUUGAAAUCACAAGGCAGAGUGGAGUAGUAGCAGCACCAUUGGCGGAAGCAAGGGCAACGACUAUGGAAGUAAUAGUAGCAAUGAUGGAGUUGCAGCUUGCAGCUUGCAGCAGCAGCAACAGCAACAGCAACAGCAACUAUUGAGUGAAGAGAAAGGUGUAAGGUGUCCGGACAACUUGGUUAACAAAAGGCGGAGUGAGGGGUAGGUGCAACGUUGUGCUACAUUGAUGGUGACCAAAUCCGAGAAGGAGAGAGACAGUCAACCAAACUUGGCUCGGGAAAAGCUCUCAAAUUGGUGUGAUUAAGACUUGUCUUGCUAUUUUUAUUCAUAAGCAAGUGUACAUAAAUUUUUACCAUAUUUUUUACUUGACUUGACCAAGUCAAAACCUAAUUUUUCAACUAUAAUAAAACCACCAUGGGCAUUCAGAGUA